rnacentral:rRNA from 1 species
UACGAAGAGGGCUAGCGUUGCUCGGAAUCACUGGGCGUAAAGGGUGCGUAGGCGGGUCUUUAAGUCAGGGGUGAAAUCCUGGAGCUCAACUCCAGAACUGCCUUUGAUACUGAAGAUCUUGAGUUCGGGAGAGGUGAGUGGAACUGCGAGUGUAGAGGUGAAAUUCGUAGAUAUUCGCAAGAACACCAGUGGCGAAGGCGGCUGACUGGUCCGGUCCUGACGCUGAGGCGCGAAAGCGUGGGGAGCAAACAGG